rnacentral:rRNA from 1 species
GUUCCUACGGGGGGCAGCAGUGGGGAAUAUUGCACAAUGGGGGAAACCCUGAUGCAGCGACGCCGCGUGAGUGAAGAAGUAAUUCGUUAUGUAAAGCCCUAUCGGCAGGGAAGAAGCAAGACGGUACCUGACUAAGAAGCCCCGGCUAACUACGUGCCAGCAGCCGCGGUAAUACGUAGGGGGCGAGCGUUGUCCGGAUUUACUGGGUGUAAAGGGCGUGUAGCCGGGCUGACAAGUCAGAUGUGAAAUCCGGGGGCUCAACCCCCGAACUGCAUUUGAAACUGUUGGUCUUGAGUAUCGGAGAG